rnacentral:rRNA from 1 species
AUGCAGUCGAACGGCAGCAUAUCCUAGCUUGCUAGGAUGAUGGCGAGUGGCGAACGGAGUAACGCGUGGGGAUCUGCCCUAAAGUGGGGGACAACCCGAGGAAACUCGGGCUAAUACCGCAUAUGUCUUACGAGACAAAGUGUGCCUCUGCUUGCAAGCACAUGCUUUAGGAGGAACCUGCGUCCGAUUAGCUUGUUGGUAAGGUAAAAGCUUACCAAGGCGACGAUCGGUAGCUGGUCUGAGAGGACGACCAGCCACACUGGGACUGAGACACGGCCCAGACUCCUACGGGAGGCAGCAGUGGGGAAUAUUGGACAAUGGGGGCAACCCUGAUCCAGCAAUGCCGCGUGUGUGAAGAAGGCCUGCGGGUUGUAAAGCACUUUCAGUAGGGAGGAAAAGCCUACGUUUAAUAGACGUGGGUCUUGACGUUACCUACAGAAGAAGCACCGGCUAACUCUGUGCCAGCAGCCGCGGUAAUACAGAGGGUGCAAGCGUUAAUCGGAAUUACUGGGCGUAAGGGUGCGUAGGUGGGAAAGUAAGUCAGCUGUGAAAGACCCGGGCUCAACCUGGGCAGGCCAGCUGAUACUGCUUACCUAGAGUACAGUAGAGGGAAGUGGA